CUGGUAUUCAUUUUUUUAGUUAGUCCCAUCCACAAGCAUGGGCAGAUCAUCUCGAAGUCUUUUCACAGCAUAUUCUACCAACGGAUCAUUAAGCACAGCAAAAUAAUUUCUGAGAAUAUUUCAAUUCUCGGAAAUCACCAGUAAUUGAGAUCAACUCAAGGUGGCUGUGUUUUCCAGAAUCACAUGAUCUAACCCCUGUUUUUAGGUUGGGUUGCUGAAAUCAAGGCCAUCUCUGCCCCCAUAUAAAGUCUCUUAUUUAUGGACUUCUCUUCUCCUGUUACUUGUAGAAUUCUUCUUCUUUCUUUCUGUCCAAUUAUCACUGGAAAACUCCCUCUGGUUGCCGACUUAUAGCAGCUGCAUAUCCACCCUUACAAGGACUCAUGCACACACUCUGCUGCCAGGAAUUUCUUUUUCGCUGAUUUCUGCUCUACCUGGGUACUCAUCAGAUCCAUGGUGUAAAACAAGAAAUUGACAUGAUUUUUGGAUCAUUUAUAUCUCUACAUAUACUGGUUGAUAUAAUAUAAAAGAGAGAUGAAGACUUGUAGAGAGAGGAGUCUAUUAAUGAUGGUGACAUCCAUGAAAGGGUCCAAAAAAGAAAUAAAGACCUGGAAUUACAGUUUAGUUUUCAAGACUUGUUGAAGUUUCUAAAACUUUUUGGAUGAAUUAAAAUCGACUUUGAGGUUGGAAUGAGUUUGUAGAG